rnacentral:rRNA from 1 species
GACGAACGCUGGCGGCGUGCUUAACACAUGCAAGUCGAACGGAAAGGCCCUGCUUUUGUGGGGUGCUCGAGUGGCGAACGGGUGAGUAACACGUGAGUAACCUGCCCUUGACUUUGGGAUAACUUCAGGAAACUGGGGCUAAUACCGGAUAGGAGCUCCUGCUGCAUGGUGGGGGUUGGAAAGUUUCGGCGGUUGGGGAUGGACUCGCGGCUUAUCAGCUUGUUGGUGGGGUAGUGGCUUACCAAGGCUUUGACGGGUAGCCGGCCUGAGAGGGUGACCGGCCACAGGGGGACUGAGAUACGGCCCAGACGCCUACGGGAGGCAGCAGUGGGGAAUAGUGCACAAUGGGCGGAAGCCUGAUGCAGCAACGCCGCGUGCGGGAUGACGGCCUUCGGGGUGUAAACCGCUUUCGCCUGUGACGAAGCGUGAGUGACGGUAAUGGGUAAAGAAGCACCGGCUAACUACG